rnacentral:rRNA from 1 species
AAAAACAGAUAAGGGCAGACGGUGGAUGCCUAGGCUCUCGGAGGCGACGAAGGACGUGAUAAGCUGCGAUAAGCUACGGGGAUCGGCACAUACGAUUUGAUCCGUAGAUUUCCGAAUGGGGCAACCCGGCAUGUAGAAGACAUGUCACACCGCAGAGCGGUGAGCGAACGUGGGGAACUGAAACAUCUAAGUACCCAUAGGAGAAGAAAACAAAAGUGAUUCCCUUAGUAGUGGCGAGCGAACGGGGACUAGCCCAAACCAGUUUUGUUUCGGCAAAACUGGGGUUGUAGGACCUUGACAUAGGAAGACAAGAUUAGGAGAACGGUCUGGAAAGGCCGGCCAUAGAGCAUGAAAGCUGUGUAUCCGAAAAUCUUCGUUGGACUUAGAGGUAUCCUGAGUAGUGCGGGACACGUGAAAUCCUGUGUGAAUCUGCGGGGCCCAUCCCGUAAGGCUAAAUACUCCCGAGAGACCGAUAGUGAACCAGUACCGUGAGGGAAAGGUGAAAAGAACCUCGAACAGAGGAGUGCAAUAGACCCUGAACCCGUCUGCCUACAAGCGGUAGGAGCAGCCUUGAGCUGUGACUGCGUGCCUUUUGCAUAAUGAACCUACGAGUUACUUUCUCUGGCAAGGUUAAGAGAUGAAGAGUCUCGCAGCCGAAGCGAAAGCGAGUCUGAAUAGGGCGUAUAGUCAGAGGGAGUAGACGCGAAACCAAGUGAUCUACCCUUGGUCAGGUUGAAGGUUGGGUAAAACCAACUGGAGGACCGCACCGGUAAGCGUUGAAAAGCUUUCGGAUGAACUGAGGGUAGGGGUGAAAGGCUAAUCAAACUUGGAGAUAGCUCGUACUCCCCGAAAUGCAUUUAGGUGCAGCCUGUGGAGUUUCUUACGUGAGGUAGAGCGACUGAUUGGAUGCGAGGCUUUCACCGGCUAUCAAGUCCAGACAAACUCCGAAUGCACGCUAAGUAAGAUCCACGGAGUGAGGGCAUGGGUGCUAAGGUCCAUGUCCGAGAGGAGAAGAAUCCAGACCAUCGGCUAAGGUCCCGAAAUAAUAGCUAAGUUGACCAAACGAAGUCAGAGUGCGAAGACAGCUAGGAUGUUGGCUUGGAAGCAGCCAUUCAUUUAAAGAGUGCGUAACAGCUCACUAGUCGAGUGCUUUGGCAUGGAUAAUAAUCGGGCAUAAGCUAUUUACCGAAGCUGUGGGAUGUUUAAACAUCGGUAGGGGAGCAUUCCAGCGACGUUGAAGGUAAGAGGACAACUCUUGCUGGAGUUUCUGGAAAAGCAAAUGUAGGUAUAAGUAACGAUAAAGGAGGUGAGAAACCUCCUCGCCGAAAGACUAAGGUUUCCUGAUCAACGCUAAUCGGAUCAGGGUUAGUCGGGGCCUAAGGGGUAGCCGAACGGCGCACCCGAUGGACGAACCGGUUAAUAUUCCGGUACUAAUUAUGUGAGCGAUGUGGAGACGGAGAUGUGACGGUCCUGCCAGCUGACGGAAUAGCUGGUUAAAGGGUGUAGGUGUUGAUCGGGGUAGGCAAAUCCGCCCUGAGAGCUGAACCUGACAGUACUCUGAGUGCUUGCACAAGGAGAUAUGGACAAAGUAACGGCGCUCCCAAGAAAAUCCGCUAAGCAUAUUGCAUGAUUACCCGUACCAUAAACCGACACAGGUGGUUGGGUUGAGUAUACUAAGGCGCUCGAGUGAUUCGCGGUUAAGGAACUAGGCAAAAUAGUUCUGUAACUUCGGGAUAAAGAACGCUCACCUAACCGGUGAGCCGCAGAGAAUAGACCCAGGCGACUGUUUAACAAAAACACAUGGCUAUGCUAAAUCGAAAGAUACAGUAUAUAGCCUGACACCUGCCCGGUGCUGGAAGGUUAAGAGGAGAUGUCAUCGCAAGAGAAGCAUUGAAUUGAAGCCCCAGUAAACGGCGGCCGUAACUAUAACGGUCCUAAGGUAGCGAAAUUCCUUGUCGGGU